ACCCGCUGAACUUAAGCAUAUCAAUAAGCGGAGGAAAAGAAACCAACAGGGAUUGCCCUAGUAACGGCGAGUGAAGCGGCAACAGCUCAAAUUUGAAAUCUGGCUCUUUUAGAGUCCGGGUUGUAAUUUGCAGAGGGCGCUUUGGCUUUGGCAGCGGUCCAAGUUCCUUGGAACAGGACGUCACAGAGGGUGAGAAUCCCGUACGUGGUCGCUGGCUAUUGCCGUGUAAAGCCCCUUCGACGAGUCGAGUUGUUUGGGAAUGCAGCUCUAAAUGGGAGGUACAUUUCUUCUAAAGCUAAAUAUUGGCCAGAGACCGAUAGCGCACAAGUAGAGUGAUCGAAAGAUGAAAAGCACUUUGGAAAGAGAGUCAAACAGCACGUGAAAUUGUUGAAAGGGAAGCGCUUGCAGCCAGACUUGCUUACAGUUGCUCAUCCGGGCUUUUGCCCGGUGCACUCUUCUGUAGGCAGGCCAGCAUCAGUUUGGGCGGUAGGAUAAAGGUCUCUGUCACGUACCUCUCUUCGGGGAGGCCUUAUAGGGGAGACGACAUACUACCAGCCUGGACUGAGGUCCGCGCAUCUGCUAGGAUGCUGGCGUAAUGGCUGU
rnacentral:rRNA from 1 species